UAUUAAAUUUGUUUAACACCAUGUUCCCGCGAUAAUUAAAAUCCUCCAUUUUAUAAAAAAAAUGGAUUUUAUUUUCUAAGCUAUUUUUGAUACUUCUCUACUAUAAAUUUACUGAUAUGGAAAGUACAGAAUAAGAAAUAAAGGUAUUCUGGUUAGAGCAAAAUAUAUUUUGAUUCCACUUCUCUACUUACAUAAAUUUUCUGCUAUGGAAGGCACAGAAUUAGAAAGUAUAAAGUGAAUAAACUUGUUCAUAAUUAUCAACCUGUCAAAAUUCCAUUUGUUUUCCAGCCAACAAGAACAGAAUGGGAAAAAUAUCAUUCUGAUAAAUUAGGCCUGAAUUUGAUUGUGUCACAAAGUACUCAAAAUCAUUAUUUAUUAAGCUUGGGGGAUCCUGAUGAUAUUGAUCCAAUUAUAAGUGAUGGAAAUUGCUUUUUCAGAUGUCUUAGCAAGGAAAUCAGCAAUGCUGAGCAUCAUCAUGAAAUGAUCAGGACUAUUCUGAUUUCUUUUAUGCUUCAAAAAAAGCACAUCAACUUCUUUAGAGGGUUCAUAGGGGAUAGCACAAUGGAUUACUUACAUUGUGAAGAACAAAAUGGGUUGCAAUGGUACAUGGGCAACAGAUAUUGAGAUUUCCUGUGCUGCAACAUUGCUUCAAACUAAUAUCUUUGUUUUUUUAAAUCAUAAAUGGCUUUUAUUUUAUCCAUUAUUUAUUAUUCCUGAUAUAAAUAAAUUUAUUGGUUGUAUCUAUAUAAGAAAUU